rnacentral:rRNA from 1 species
GAUGAACGCUAGCGGCAGGCUUAACACAUGCAAGUCGAGGGGUAACGAUGAGUGCUUGCACUCAGGCGACGACCGGCGAACGGGUGCGUAACGCGUAUAGAAUCUGCCUUGUACAGGAGGAUAGCCUUUAGAAAUGAAGAUUAAUACUCCAUAAUGUUAUUUGGUGGCAUCAUUAAAUAAUUAAAGAUUUAUCGGUACAAGAUGACUAUGCGUCCUAUUAGUUAGUUGGUAAGGUAACGGCUUACCAAGGCGGCGAUAGGUAGGGGGUCUGAGAGGAUUAUCCCCCACACCGGUACUGAGACACGGACCAGACUCCUACGGGAGGCAGCAGUGAGGAAUAUUGGACAAUGGGCGCAAGCCUGAUCCAGCCAUGCCGCGUGCAGGAAGACUGCCCUAUGGGUUGUAAACUGCUUUUAUACAGGAAGAAACACCAAUACGUGUAUUGGCUUGACGGUACUGUAAGAAUAAGCACCGGCUAACUCCGUGCCAGCAGCCGCGGUAAUACGGAGGGUGCAAGCGUUAUCCGGAAUCAUUGGGUUUAAAGGGUCCGCAGGCGGUCGAUUAAGUCAGAGGUGAAAUCUCACAGCUUAACUGUGAAACUGCCUUUGAUACUGGUUGACUUGAGUCAUAUGGAAGUGGAUAGAAUAAGUAGUGUAGCGGUGAAAUGCAUAGAUAUUACUUAGAAUACCGAUUGCGAAGGCAGUCCACUACGUAUGUACUGACGCUCAUGGACGAAAGCGUGGGGAGCGAACAGG